CCCUUAUGAUGACGACCAGACUGGUUAGCGUCGUGCUCUCGACGCGCCCACAGGCUUCGCCUAGCGAGGGGCGGCGCGGCCUGGCCGCUCUAGGUCGGGGGCGGCCGGCUAGGGUACCGAGGGCGCCGCCGCGCCCAGGAGGAGGAGCAGGAGCGGCAGCGGAGGAGGGAGCGCCCCGCGCGCCCGCGCGAGGCCAGCGACCCGCAGCCCCUGCCCCGGCCCCGGCCCCGGCGGCGCGUCCCCCUGAUGCGGCACCUGGAGUUGCGGUGGUCGAAGCUGCGGAAGGAGUGGCGGAGCGCCCUCGUCAAGCGGCAGCAGCUCAAGAAGCGGGUGACCACAGGUCGAACGUCUUUGAUGUUCGGGGUAAUACUCUUCCAACGCUUUGAAAAGUUACCAGGUCUACGACGUGUAGGACCCUCUUAUGACUACCGAUCCCAACUAACACGUAGUUUCCACUUGCAUCUAGAAACGUCAUCUAAAAGACAACUGGUAAUAGGAAAGGAUGAAACCCCUGGGGGUGGUUUUAAACGAUUGUGAUUCACCCUGGCCUUCGUUCUCUUUUCGCUGUAUUUUAACUAACUACUACCUUCUUGUCGUCUCGCAAAUGAAUUCACCUAUUUAUUCGUUGACCUUUCGAGCAAGUGAAACCUACUGUUUUUUAUACUCUUACUUUUACACGAAGGUUUGUUACGAAGUCUAGGAUUCGUCCAACAAGUUCGUUAAAUGCUACAACUCCUUCGUUGUCGAGUACGCAAUGUCUAUUAAAACCUCGUGUUCUACUAGUUUCGUCUGUGAGCACUGAGAGACUAUUCCAAAAAUGUUUAAAACCACCGAGUAGUAGGUAGGUUCUCCACAGCUUCUCCUAGACGACUCGACGAAUAAUUGAAACUACUAGUGACCGGAAGUUUGGAGAGAAAUUCAAGUGUUCUGUCAAGAUUUAACAACCUUUCACAACGUCGUCUAUUGGUGUUCUAGACACCUUUCCUCCACGGAGCGCCAAUGACCUACAAGACAGCACCUUCAUUUUCACUUUGUUCUCCUAAAUCGACACCAGAUACCCAAAACGACGUAAGUGAAUGACAGGUUUAACCCCUGCCUCUUUCGGUUAGUUGGAAAUGUAGUUAUACACUAAAGUAUGUGUUAAAGAAGUAGACACUCCUUACGGCGUUUGUGAAGAUACUAUACACGAGUUCACACAGUCAAGGGAAGUUCAGUCGGGCACUAGAGUCGGAGACCGAUACCUCGUGCGUAUUGUUUCAAUUACUCUCCAACUACUUUCUUCUUUUCCUAUACCCCUGACCGCUAGGUAGUAAAGGAUUCCGACAGACCGGAGGUUUCCGUGCGACGGGUAGAACGAUAGCAAGAAGUUCGUCCUGCUCACUGCCCCGGAACGUCCAACUGACCUUACUCCUACUUCACAAAUGUAAGAACCAAUUGAUGAUACCCUUCUGCGAGUAUAGUAGGAUAUUUCUUUGGAUGUACCUCAGAGAAGUUCCCUCCUACGUUCAUCCCCGCCGUGAAGGACUGCUACGGAGGAGGAGUGUACGACGUUCUCAGGGCUAACCUCGACGGGACCCACAACGUCAACGGUCGACAUGUAAACCCCGUGAUCGAACGAAGACCUCUUGGGUCGUCUUCUUGUCUUUCAUGAGCAUGGCAAAUGUGAGAAAUUUCUUUUAUACUAAUCUGGUAAAAUCCAACCAUCCUAUAGUAAGUAACGACACACGCAUAUGCCUUAAGUUUAGUAUCUCUUCACUAAUCCAAGAUGAACAGCUAAAAUGUCCGUUUCUUUCUUGACCUUGACUUUUUGUCGGGUGGCCAACGAGUGGCACGUGAAGUAGUCUCCACCGGAGGCACUUACAUAUAAAGAACCUACCCAAUUUUUAGAACCAUUCAUCGAGUGUCUACUUUUAGGUCACAAUCUCGACAGUAAAUGUCUACUUUUUGAAUCUCUUCGUACUACUGGAUUGAACGUGGAACAAUAUCCGAGUUUUACAUCAAGACAAAAAUGGUAUAUCAACACUAGACUAACGACCUAUACCUACUUGACAACUACGGUAAACUUGGCACUUAACUUGAUUCACAAUUAGGAAUUCAGAACGCUGAAAUAUAGCCUACAUGAGACAGAUACCAUAGCUUUAAACACGACAACUGCUGUCGUACCAUCACGUGGAUCUCCGACUAUAUGGAAUGUGUUCGUUGUAAACCUUGACCGCUUAACAGCUCGUUGUUAUUGUUGUUGUUGUUACAUCCGCUGUCUCACUAAAGACGUAAAAGAGACACGUAGCUUACAUGUAACGUAUUCAGAUUUUAAGGAUGUAGUAGCACAUGAGGACAGAGAACAGUACAUGUCCUCCGUGUGAUGUAGAAGUAUCGAACACUUCGCUCACAGGUACAUACAUAUAUACGUAAAAAGAAAGCUAUAUGUGUCCAUAAGGCUUCUAGUAUAUGCAUGUCGGUGUUGAGUGUUAAUAAUACAUGUGUAGGAGGUAGAGAACACAAUUGUACUACCGUGUGGACUUCGAGUUUUGGCGUAGGUCCAGGUAUAGACAAAGGGAACCACGUGAUGACCUACCACUAUUGGUGUGCGACAACGACGCCGCCUUAACCGUG
rnacentral:rRNA from 1 species